CUCGGAGUUUGAUCCUGGCUCAGAUUGAACGCUGGCGGAAUGCUUUACACAUGCAAGUCGAACGGUAGAGGGGGCAACCCCUUGAGAGUGGCGAACGGGUGAGUAAUAUAUCGGAACGUGCCCAGUCGUGGGGGAUAACGUAGCGAAAGUUACGCUAAUACCGCAUACGAUCUAAGGAUGACAGCGGGGGAUCGCAAGACCUCGCGCGAUUGGAGCGGCCGAUAUCAGAUUAGGUAGUUGGUGGGGUAAAGGCCCACCAAGCCUGCGUUCUGUAGUUGGUCUGAGAGGACGACCAGCCACACUGGGACUGAGACACGGCCCAGACUCCUACGGGAGCAGCAGUGGGGAAUUUGGACAAUGGGCGCAAGCCUGAUCCAGCAAUG
rnacentral:rRNA from 1 species